UACGUAGGGUGCGAGCGUUAAUCGGAUUUACUGGGCGUAAAGCGUGCGCAGGCGGCCCGUUAAGACAGGUGUGAAAUCCCUGGGCUCAACCUAGGAAUUGCGCUUGUGACUGGCGGGCUCGAGUACGGUAGAGGGGGGUGGAAUUCCUGGUGUAGCAGUGAAAUGCGUAGAGAUAAGGAGGAACACCGAUGGCGAAGGCAGCCCCCUGGGCCUGUACUGACGCUCAUGCACGAAAGCGUGGGGAGCAAACAGG
rnacentral:rRNA from 1 species